CCAAUGCUCUUAAUUUUCUCUGUAAACAAGCACUGGACGGACAUUUUUGAACGUUGCACCGUGUUUAUGACGCCAUGUCAAGUUUAAAAUAAUAGUGUGUCUUUAGCGGAUUGCCACGUUUUCUCACGAUAAAUCUGAGCUACGGUGUGAAAAUAUGGGCAAUGAAUCUGCAUGUUAACCCGGCUAACCUAUCUACAAAGCUCUGCUCAUGAGCUGUUUGGACUCUCAUUCUGAUGGCACCCAUUCACUGCAGCAGGCAGAUUCACUGAGCAAGUGAUGUAAUGACAAAUUUCCCCAAAUCAGUUCAGAUGAAAAAAAAAACAACCUCCUCUACAUCUUGGAUGGCCUGAGGAAAUUUUCUAACUUACCACGGAUGUUCCUGAGGGAUUUUAUCACGCAUUGACUACAAGAGAAUGCAAAUGGCAUACACAGGCAUGAAUCUGGGAC
ensembl:lncRNA